UACGAAGGGGGCGAGCGUUGUUCGGAAUUACUGGGCGUAACGGGCGCGCAGGCGGCUCAGCCAGUCAGAUGUGAAAGCCCCGGGCUUAACCUGGGAACUGCAUUUGAUACUACUGAGCUUGAGUACGGGAGAGGAUAGUGGAAUUCCCAGUGUAGAGGUGAAAUUCGUAGAUAUUGGGAAGAACACCGGUGGCGAAGGCGGCUAUCUGGACCGUAACUGACGCUGAGGCGCGAAAGCGUGGGGAGCAAACAGG
rnacentral:rRNA from 1 species